UGAAUUCGACGAUAGAUCUGAAGU
rnacentral:siRNA from 1 species